GAAAAAUUUAAGAUAAAACGGUGGAGUAUCUUCCCCUUCCUUCCCUCGGCGUAAAAGAAAGAGAAAUCUCCCGUCUCGUCGUCUCCUCCGCUCCUUGCGCGCCAAGACGAGUUGCGCGCGGCUGAACAGGGGAGGGGCGCCGAUCUCCAUCCGGCGAGCAGAGCAGGGGAGGGGAGGGGAUCCUGUUUUGUGGAUUUAUCUUCCAACAUCAAUAGAAUGGAGCAAGAAGAGAAUCAUUCAGCUGAUCACUUGUCUGCUCAACCUGGUAAUGGCAACGAAUUGGAAGAAUCAUCUGUAAAGGAAAGGUGUUUUGAGCAGAGAGAAGCCCUUGUUGGGGAGCCUCGCUGUGUUAUUUGUGGCCGAUAUGGUGAAUACAUAUGUGAUCAGACUGACGAUGACAUAUGUAGUGUUGAAUGCAAGACAAUUCUUCUUUCCAAACUUUCUGCUGAAACAAGGCCAGUAGUAAAAGCAGCAAAGCGUGUAAAUCUUCCUGUUGGCGACGAGAGCUUCUGUAUUAGGGACGAAAAUUUUCCUAAAAUACCAAGUAUGCACGAUGGUCAGAUUGCUUCACUGAGAAGCAAACUUGAUAUUUGUGUCAAGGGUGAGGAUGUUCCAGAUCCAAUCAUGUGUUUUUCUUCCUCUGGUCUCCCUGAGAAGCUUGUGCUCAAUCUUGAGGCUGCGGGAUAUGUAAUGCCUACUCCAGUGCAAAUGCAAGUCAUCCCUUCAUCAAUAUGUAAUAGAAGCUUACUUGUCUCUGCUGAUACUGGUUCAGGGAAAACAGCUUCUUUUCUUGUUCCCAUAAUUGCACAUUGUUCACACGUGCGAUCAGAGAGAUGCACAGACAAGCAAGGGCCAUUAGCUAUAGUCCUUGCUCCAACUAGAGAGCUAUGUCUGCAGGUGGAAGAACAAGCAAAAGUGCUUGGAAAGGGUUUACCUUUUAAGACUGCUCUAGUUGUUGGUGGAGAUCCCUUGGCUCAGCAAAUCUACAGGAUUGAAAAUGGCAUCGAGUUGAUUGUUGGCACCCCUGGGAGGCUAAUUGAUCUACUCAUGAAGCACAAUGUUGAUCUUAACAAAGUUGAUGUAUUCGUUUUGGAUGAGGUGGACUGCUUGCUAGAGAGGGGAUUCAGAGAUCAGGUCAUGCAAAUCUUCCAAGCACUUUCGCAUCCCCAGGUUAUGAUGUUUUCGGCAACUGUAAAUUCAGAAGUUGAGAAGAUGUCAAACUCACUGGCUAAGAAUGCGAUACAUAUUUCUUGUGGAAAUCCAAGCAGACCAAACAAAUCAGUUAAACAAGUGGUCAUUUGGGUGGAGUCUAAGCAGAAGAAGCAGAAAAUUUUUGAGAUAAUGACAAGUAAACAGCACUUUAAACCUCCCGCUGUUGUUUUUGUGAGUUCUAGAAUUGGCGCUGAUCUGUUGUCCGAAGCAAUUACUGUUGCUACUGGAUUGAAGGUGGUUUCUAUUCAUGGUGAUAAGACAAUGAAUGAGAGAAGAGAAAGCUUGAGAAGGUUUCUCACAGGAGAAGUGUCUGUUGUUGUUUGUACUGGGGUAUUGGGACGUGGAAUGGAUCUCCUGAAAGUUCGUCAGGUGAUAUUAUUUGACAUGCCAAAUUCCAUUGAUGAAUAUGUUCACCAAGUUGGAAGAGCAUCUCGAAUGGGUGUGGAGGGUAUGGCUAUUGUCUUUGUUAAUGAGGAGGACAGGAAUCUUUUCAGAGAGCUUGUUCAGAUUCUGAAGACUGCAGGUGCUCCAAUUCCCAGGGAACUUGCAAAUUCAAAAUACACAACCGGUAUACCCCUUGGUGGUGGUAAGAAGAGAAAGCUGAAGUCUAGGUGACAUUCUUGACCAGGGUAAAUAUCAGAGUGGCGGUCAAUCUUUCUUAAGGAUGGAAAAAUUGUAUGCCUACCUGGAAUGUUAGCUAUGUUUUUAUCUUCAUGGGAAUGCAAAUGCAUCUUAUCAUCUCUGGUGGAUAAGUUGGAUAUGUCUAGAAUUCAAUCUUGUCAAAUUUCCAGGCUUUUCCUGAGCCAACACGAUUUCUCAGGGCAAGUACAUGAAGUCAUGAAAUCAGCGUACGUGGCAAAUGUAAAAGAAUCUAUGGCACAUGUAAAUGUCAGCAAAUUCAGGAAAUUCUGGAACCAUGGUCUAGAGUGGUGACUUCGUUAUGCCGUCGUUUCAUCCAAGCCUUUCAGAUGACAAAGCUACCCUCUCCCUCUCCAUGUGAGGGUGAAGCUGGACUGCUCCUGCUCAGCAACUCCUCGAUCAUUUGCAGCGCAAUCUUUUCCUCAUCAUCCAUUGUCACUUGCGAAGCUGUUGCUGUUGAUGUGGGCUGAGCUGCAGGUUCAGUUGGUUCUACCUCUUUGUUGAGCUCCACCGUCAUCACCCAGUUGGAGUCAGCACGGGCCCCUGCGCGCUUUUGCCACACGCCAAUGUGGGACUUCUCGGGGUCGAGGCGGAGGCAGGUUAAGGACGGAGAUGGCGCCUUGCAGCACUUGCGGAGCUUAGCACUGAGAAUCUGUGACAGGUUGCCCGCGGAGGAGUUCCUGCUACCGCCAUUGCUACGGGCGUCCUGGUCUGCGGCCGUGGCGAGAUCACCGGUGGAGUUCCUCUGCACGGGGAAGUUGGUCUUGGCGUUGCGGCCACUCAUCAGCACAGCAGCCUCAUCGUAGGCUCGCGCAGCCUCCUCGGCCGUCUCAAAGGCUUGCAGUCCCAUUUCAUGGCAAGAGUACUUCGUACACCGUAUCAACAUUGAAGUAUCUGAACAGUCUGCCUGCAAUAAUUGGCGGCUCGUCAUAUUUCACUAAUCAACUGUCCUUUGCUGCUACAGAUGUGUUCUGUAAAAGUGAUUCAGAUUGAUGGAAGUUCGUUGCCCCUGUCGACUGAUUAAUUAAUGAGAGGAACAGAAAUAUAUUAUCGAUCAUGAUCGUUCCAUGAAUUAUUCCCGGCAAAAUUCUGGACCUUAGCGGGAUAUCGGAAGCUGGCCGGCCGGUGUAUCUUGCUCUCUGGUCUGCUAUACCAGGUGUCUGAUGAACUGGUGUGGACCUCGUCAAUCGAUGACUAUGAUCAUGAUGAUACAUUUGUCACCAUCUGCGGCACAAGUACUCUGCAACUCUACGUAUGGUGAUAUGGCGUACACUCUUUGCUUUACAAUUUCAGUCUCAGCAUUUUUCUUGCAUCAUGCUUCUCCUUAACUGUUACUAUUACUCCCUCCAUUGUAGGGUAAGGUGUUUUAGUUUUGUCCUAAUUCGACCAAUCUUAUAGGAAAGUACACCAACACAUAUUACAUCAAAUUAGAUUAUUAAAAAUUGACCAUGAAAUAUAUCUUGAUAGUGUAUUUAUUUGGCACUAUAGGUGUUUAUUAUUUUCCUAAAAACUUGGUCUAAUUUAUAUUUUUUACUUUGAAAAAAACUAAAACACCUUACAAUGUGGAACAAAGGGAGUAGUAGAUUAAAAAGCAAGAUGUUAGAACUUAUGUGGCAUAGGAGGGUGGUGGAUAUAUAGAGAGGGUUACUGUAGUUUGCAAUGAAGCGGGGGCUGUAAGAAAGGGCGGACAUGUAGAGUAAAUGGGUGGUGCUUGGGAGAACGUUUUGUUUUAGGAUUAUAUAAGUCACAUUUAGCUUUCGGCUUUUGUUCGGUUUGGAGGAAUUUUAACCCAUAGGAAUAGAACAAAAAAAUGAAGGAAUAUAAAUGCAUGCACUUCAUAGGAAUUUUUUUAAAAGAUUUGAGUGAAUGGAAAAUUUCCUACGUUUAAUUAUUAUCUACAACUUGUAGGAAAGAAAAAUUUUCUUGGGUUUUCCUAUACUUCAUUCCUACAAAUUGAAUCAAGCUCAUAGGAAUUAAUUCUUAAGAAAUCAAAUCCUUUACUUUCCUUUAAACCAAACAAGCCCUUAAAUGAAAGAUUUUUUAAGGAAGAUUCCUUGAACACCCUAUAAAAUUUUUACAUUCCAAGGGAUCCUUUAGAGGAGGUUUUAUGAGCAGCUAGCUACCUAAAAUGUCUUGUCUUUUAAGCAAAAGGUCUGCCAAGUAGCUUUGGAAAAAAAAAUACUACUACAUGCUGGCACUCAAAAUGAAACCUAGUAGCUAAUGCUAGGAAACUGAUUUCAUUAGCUUGGAACCUGAUCGAGGGACAUCCAACCCCAUCGUUUCAGAUGACGGAGGAAAAAACGAAACGACAUAUUUACAAAUGAAAAAUAAUUUGUGAAUACAACUUUUAUAUACGUGUUCUUAACGAUCUAAAAGCAAAAAACUGAAAAAUAAACUACGGUAAAUUUUUUUUUAAAUCAACUUAAAUUAAGGUUGGAAAUUCAAAUUCUGGAUGAUAAGCAUAAGCAAUGAGGCUGAUCGAGUGGUUGGAUGCUUCCCAACUUUACAUUAGGAAUUAAUCUCUUAGCUUAAUUACUCCUAAAAUAACUUCUUGCCGUUAUUAGUCUGUUGGCCGUGCUAAGAUCUGAACAUCAAAGUAUAUAUAUGGUUUGGUGAAGGAAAUAGAAAGGGGAAGUAAGUAGGAUAAGUGCAGCUGUGCGUUGGUACUACAGUACCCACUAGCAGCUUUCUAGCUACCGUUGAGUACUGUAGUACCAUACUUGCUCUGCUAUGUUUGUUCUAAAGUUGAUGAAAGGACAAAUAUGGGGACAACGCAAUAAAACGCUCUUUAAUCACUCUUAUUAUUAACUAGAUCUCCAAUUAAUUACUGCUUUCCCGUUCUCGUGCAUGCACGCCAUCACAAACGUUCGUCGUCGAAGAAAUGUUUGGAACCGUACGUAUUGAUCCAUCUAUGCCAAAUUAUGUAUUGAUUUCAAAUAUAAUGCAGAUCAAAAGCGAAUUUGCCCUGCAUUUUGGUCAUGUCUUGAAUUAUGUAUCUUGCCCUUGGUUAAUUAGGAAGUUUACAAACAUUACAAGAAUCCAUAAUUUUCUUAGCGGUCAAGAAACCGUCAAGGUUAAUUAUUCCAUUAGCCUACCGUCAAGUAAACACUGCUAAGUCUAGAAAGUCAACGAUAUUAAGAUUUCUUGGCGACUAACCAUAAGGAAAUGUCUUAUUGGUGGUCGGACUGCUAAGCAAAUUAAGAAGAUUAUGAACUCUUGAAACCGCCAAAAAUAUAUUUAAACUCGCCGGCUGUUUUUUUUGGCCGCCAAAGAAAUUAGUUGGUCGCCAUGAAAAUUAUGGAUUCUUGUAGUGAGUGCAAGAUUUUGUGGUUCACUAUAUAUAAGUCGGGAGAACUAGGUUCAGAGUGUACCGUCCAUAAUUGUGCACAACAUUGUAUACACGUUGGUAAAAAGUUAGCAAGUGCUAUAAUCUCGUGAAAAAUAUAUUCUUUGUUUCUCUCUCUUAUUAGUUUUGUUUCAUGUGUUUUACAUAUGUAUUCCCAUCAAAAUUAUGUAUAUUUUUUCUAUUCA